rnacentral:rRNA from 1 species
CGCCUUAUACAUGCAAGUCGAACGAAGUAGCAAUACUUAGUGGCAGACGGGUGAGUAACAUGUAGGUAUCUACCCUUUGGUGAGGAAUAACACGAGGAAACUUGUGCUAAUACCUCAUAAGUCUUUACGGAGAAAGCUUUAUGCGCCGAAGGAUGAGCCUGCACUUGAUUAGUUUGUUGGUGGGGUAAUGGCCUACCAAGACUUUGAUCUAUAGCUGAUCUGAGAGGAUGAUCAGCCACAUUGGGACUGAGACACGGCCCAAACUCCUACGGGAGGCAGCAGUAGGGAAUAUUGCACAAUGGAGGAAACUCUGAUGCAGCGAUGCCGCGUGAGUGAAGAAGGCCUUUGGGUUGUAAAGCUCUUUCGUCGGGGAAGAAAAUGACUGUACCCGAAUAAGAAGGUCCGGC